UUAUCAAAGCGCUGGUAGUGAAUUCAGAUGACUAUCCACUAAAGCGUAAGCAGAACCAUGUAAACAUGUGCAGGAUGCUCAGCAAGUAUGCAUCACUGAGGUAUAAAUGCGUGGCGUGCAUGCAUUUGUAUUUUAAUCUUGUGUCAUGCUUCCGGAGAGAGAAAUCUUUGAAAAGUUGAUUUAAUUGUACAUUCCUACCUGCAAAAGCAUCAACCGCACAGACAACCGGUGGGCCUGCAGAAGGAGCCGACCCUGCACUGUCAGUUUGACACGGACCACAAGGCCCCUCACCUCACAGUGGAGUGGCAUCUACAGCGGCACGGCGGGUACCGAACCAAUCUGUUCAGCUACUCCAGCAGCUCAGGGCAGACAGAGGGCAGCGGGGUGGCAGUAAAGGGCAUUGCCAGGGGUGAUGCCUCCCUGACUGUGUCCGUUACCAGUGUGAGCAGUGAGGGGACGUAGGUGUGUUCCAUCCGCGUACCCCUACUCAGUGGUAGCCUGGACAUUGCCCUGCUUGUCAUGGGUGGGACCUCUGGGGGUGUGAGGGGUGUAGCUCACCGUGUUGGGGUAAAUUCAGUUUUCAAUUCAGUCAAAUCAGGAAGAGUACAAUACUUUACUUGCAGAAGUAUACGUAAAGGUUCACAACUUCACAUAAUCACACGACAGACACUAUUAAAUGAUACCUCACUAACCUCUCCAUAAUAUUGCCCGUCUUUCGUGUUUCACCCUCAGAGCCUCCCCGUGUAUUCUUGACCACCUAUUCAAGGAGACCAGUAGUGGUCAAUGGCCUGAGUAGCUGGAGAAUAUCACUUACUACAGUCACCAUAAAAACAACGAUGGUACCUACUCUCUGUCAGCCUUUGUCGGGCUGCGGCCCUCCCCCGAGGAGUCAGAGUGCGCAAUGUAUUCCUGUAGAGUGUCUCCUUGCCAGGGAGACUGGAGGGAGGGACCUCGGGAGAAGGGAAAUGUCCUCUGUCAGUAUGUCUGGAAUGUGUUGCUGGCCAACUGGGAUUAAAGUGUCUCUUCCACAUCAAUUUGAUCCUUCCGAAGUCUGGCCACAACCCUGUCUGUGACCUUCCUCCACCUGGGAUUAGCCGCGAUACACAAAUGCUGCUGGAUCAGGUCUGUCGGGCAUAAAAUGAGAUGACAAAAGUCACCUACCAUAACAUGGUCUAAUUGAACACACUUCAACGGCCAUCUAUAGCUUUCAUAGACAAUUAUUUCAUAGACAAGUCUCAAUACCCUUACACAACUUGUCUGGACCUUUACAGUGUGCUAUACUCUCUCUGAAUAUGUCUGUCUAGAAAUAGUAAAAAAAAGAGGCCGGUUUGGUAUCACCUGUUUCUUUGAUCUUACAAUCUUACUUCCUUAGUGAAAGCUGGAAUGUUCCGCUUCAUAAACAGUCAUUGUCGUUAGAUGACAAGCAUUCCAUAUCCAGAGUGGCUUGCAUACCUUGUUUAUUUAUUUUCUUUAUAGGGCUUAUAUAGUAUGUGGCAUUCUGUGCUGGGCUUGUGCCCACUGUUGACUGCAUUUUGACCAGUGAGGACAGGUGGACUGUAAACGUUUGAUGUUAAAGCUCCAUCAAUAAAAGGACAGUAGAUAAAUUCAGGACCACAA